AGAGUUUGAUCCUGGCUCAGAAUGAACGUUGGCGGCGUGGAUUAGGCAUGCAAGUCGAGCGUGUACCCGCAAGGGGAAAGCGGCGGAAGGGAGAGUAACGCGUAGAUACGUGCCCUUGGGACUGGGAUAGCCACGGGAAACUGUGGGUAAUACCAGAUGAUGUCUCCGGACUAAAAGUGUGAUUCUGCCCAAGGAUCGGUCUGCGUCCUAUUAGCUUGUUGGCGGGGUAAUGGCCCACCAAGGCUACGAUGGGUACUGGGUGUGAGAGCACGACCCAGCUCACUGGGACUGAGAUACUGCCCAGACACCUACGGGUGGCUGCAGUCGAGAAUCUUCGGCAAUGGGCGCAAGCCUGACCGAGCGACGCCGCGUGCGGGAUGAAGGCCUUCGGGUUGUAAACCGCUGUCGGAGGGGAUGAAAUUCCAUGGGGUUCUCUCCAUGGAUUGACAUAUCCUCGGAGGAAGUACGGGCUAAGUUCGUGCCAGCAGCCGCGGUAAGACGAACUGUACAAACGUUAUUCGGAAUCACUGGGCUUAAAGGGUGCGUAGGCGGCUUGCCAAGUUGGGUGUGAAAGCCCUCGGCUUAACCGAGGAAUAGCGCUCAAAACUGGUAGGCUUGAGGGAGAUAGAGGUUAGCGGAACUCAGGGUGGAGCGGUGAAAUGCGUUGAUAUCCUGAGGAACACCGGUUGCGUAAGCGGCUAACUGGGUCUCUUCUGACGCUGAGGCACGAAAGCUAGGGUAGCGAACGGGAUUAGAUACCCCGGUAGUCCUAGCCUUAAACUCUGAGCACUUGACUGUAG
rnacentral:rRNA from 1 species